UCGGUAAGUUCAGCUCGACGGCAUUGUUUGAGCGCGCACUGCUUUGGAGGGCCGCAUAGAAUCCGCAUCAUCAACGGCGGCUUCAACAGUUGAGUAUGUGAAUUUGAGCGCGCCGGUUGUGUGAGCUGCGCACACGUUGAAUGAGAAAACGGAGGAUUAACUAGUAAACUAACGGCUCGUAUUGGAACCACGACGACGCAUAGUGACUAUAGGGCGUUCGAGAGAACAGUGCAUAGCUUCAUGACGUCAUGAACAUAAGGAAGAUUUAAGCCGUGGAUUUACUUCUUAUGAAAUUCGUACCAAUGCCAUGCAUAAUAUUCGUUUUGAAAAUCUUACGUUUUUUUAAA